GCAUUAAUGGGGUAGUGGUAACCUGGGUCGUUGCCAUUGGGUGUAAGCAUAUUUCGCAUUCGCUCGACCCGCCGGGGGUUCGAUUCCCCCUUAAUGCA
rnacentral:tRNA from 1 species